AUACGACCAUACCCACUGGAAAACUCGGGAUCCCGUCCGCUCUCCCAUAGAUAAGCCAGUGAGGGCCGGAUUAGUAGUGGGGUCGGUGACGACCAGCGAAUACCUGGUGUUGUAUG
rnacentral:rRNA from 1 species